UAAUACUGUGCUGCUUUUAUAAGUAUUUUCACAAUAGAUUUAAAGAUUGUUUCAUUGUCAUUUGUCCUAGGUUUUGUCUUCAGAUGGAAUAAUUUAUCUGUUACAUUAACAUUUGGAAGCAUGUUGAGUUAAUGCUGAGAUCAUGAAGAUUUACAGAAACCUCAUGUUUAGCCAUGUUUUGCAAACAACAGAGUUUUCCAGGAAACAUAAAGACUCCAGUCAUAUUUUGGCAAGAAGAGAGACCAUUAUGAUUAUUUGGGCAUCUGAGAGAAUUGUGGCAGGAAAUGUCAAACCCAGUUACUGCAAAUUUCCAGACAAACCUCUGAAUUCCAGGGUGGAGGAAACAAAGUAAACCUCUAGGUAUGUGUAUAGUAUUUAUAUCCUUGCUCUAUUCUCAAAAUGUCUAAAGGUUCUCAGGCAUG
rnacentral:lncRNA from 1 species